UGGCGGCAUGCCUUACACAUGCAAGUCGAACGGCAGCACGGGAGCUUGCUCCUGGUGGCGAGUGGCGAACGGGUGAGUAAUAUAUCGGAACGUACCCUAGAGUGGGGGAUAACGCAGCGAAAGUUGCGCUAAUACCGCAUACGAUCUACGGAUGAAAGUGGGGGAUCGCAAGACCUCAUGCUCAUGGAGCGGCCGAUAUCUGAUUAGCUAGUUGGUAGGGUAAAAGCCUACCAAGGCAUCGAUCAGUAGCUGGUCUGAGAGGACGACCAGCCACACUGGAACUGAGACACGGUCCAGACUCCUACGGGAGGCAGCAGUGGGGAAUUUUGGACAAUGGGCGCAAGCCUGAUCCAGCAAUGCCGCGUGAGUGAAGAAGGCCUUCGGGUUGUAAAGCUCUUUUGUCAGGGAAGAAACGGUGGACUCUAAUACAGAUCACUAAUGACGGUACCUGAAGAAUAAGCACCGGCUAACUACGUGCCAGCAGCCGCGGUAAUACAGAGGUCCCAAGCGUUGUUCGGAUUUACUGGGCGUAAAGGGUGCGUAGGUGGCGGGGUAAGUCGGAUGUGAAAUCUCCAGGCUCAACCUGGAAAUGGCAUUGGAAACUACCUUGCUGGAGAGUUGGAGGGGGGACUGGAAUACCUUGGUGUAGCAGUGAAAUGCGUAGAUAUCAAGUGGAACACCAGUGGCGAAGGCGAGUCCCUGGACAACUUCUGACGCUGAGGCACGAAAGCUAG
rnacentral:rRNA from 1 species